rnacentral:rRNA from 1 species
AUGCGGGACGGCGGCGGCUCCGGCUCCGGCCGCGAAGGCGGCGGGGAGGAGGAGAAGGAGCGGGAGCGUGGGCCGCGGCCGGGGUGCGGGGGCGAGGCGGCGGGGCAGGCGGCGGCGGACUGCGCGGCGGUGUGCUGCUGCUGCCCCAUGGCGCUGCUGGAGCUGGUGCUGCUCGUCGCGGUCCGGCUGCCGGCCGACCUCGCCCGCCGGGCCAGGCAGAGGCGGCGCCGGCGGCGCGGAGGCAGCGGGUCGGCGUCGCUGUCCGGGAGCACCAAGGCCAUGUUCGCGGCGGCGGACGCGCUGGAGGCGGACGAGGCCGAGGCCGGGGCCAGGCGCGAGGAGGAGGCGGCCGAGGCGGCGUCCGAGUUCGAGCGCGAGAUCAUGGCCUCCCGCCUCUACGGCGCCGGGUUCUGGCGCUCCAACUCCUCCCGCUCCAGCUCCCGCGCCUCCUCCGCGCGCCGGUAG